GUGUUGGCUUCGGCAGCACAUAUACCAAAAUUGGAACGAUACAGAGAUUAGCAUGAACCCUGCACCAGGAUGACGCGCAUGUUCGUGAAGCAUUCCAUAUUUUU